AACGAACGCUGGCGGCAGGCCUAAAACAUGCAAGUCGAACGGGUGUAGCAAUACAUCAGUGGCGCACGGGUGAGUAACGCGUGGGAACGUGCCCUUCAGUACGGGACAACGUCGGGAAACUGACGCUAAUACCGUAUAAUAUCUCCGGAUCAAAGAUUUAUCGCUGAAGGAUCGGCCCGCGUCUGAUUAGUUUGUUGGUGAGGUAACGGCUCACCAAGACUACGAUCAGUAGCUGGUCUGAGAGGAUGAUCAGCCACACUGGGACUGAGACACGGCCCAGACUCCUACGGGAGGCAGCAGUUAGGAAUAUUGGACAAUGGGGAAACCCUGAUCCAGCCAUGCCGCGUGUGUGAUGAAGGCCCUUAGGGUUGUAAAGCACUUUCGUUGGGGAUGAUAAUGACCGUACCCAAAGAGAAGCCACGGCUAAAUUCGUG
rnacentral:rRNA from 1 species